AUUGAACGCUGGCGGCAGGCCUAACACAUGCAAGUAGAACGAGUGGCGGACGGGUGAGUAAUGUCUGGGAAACUGCCCGAUGGAGGGGGAUAACUACUGGAAACGGUAGCUAAUACCGCAUACCAUCGGAUGUGCCCAGAUGGGAUUGGCUUGUAGGUGAGGUAACGGCUCACCUAGGCGACGAUCCCUAGCUGGUCUGAGAGGAUGACCAGCUAGACUGUAACGGAGACACGGUCCACACUCCUACGUGAGGCAGAAGUGGGGAAUAUUGAACAAUGGGCGCAAGCCUGCUGCAGCCAUGCCGCGUGUGUGAAGAAGGCCUUCGGGUUUGAAUGUACUUUCAGCGGGGAGGCGUUACCCGCAGAAGAAGCACCGGCUAACUCCGUGCCAGCAGACGCGGUAAUGC
rnacentral:rRNA from 1 species